UGGAGGAAAGCAGGGGAUCGCAAGACCUUGUGCUUUUGGAGCGGCCGAUGCCUGAUUAGCUAGUUGGUAGGGUAAAGGCCUACCAAGGCUUCGAUCAGUAGUUGGUCUGAGAGGACGACCAGCCACACUGGGACUGAGACACGGCCCAGACUCCUACGGGAGGCAGCAGUGGGGAAUUUUGGACAAUGGGGGCAACCCUGAUCCAGCCAUGCCGCGUGAGUGAAGAAGGCCUUCGGGUUGUAAAGCUCUUUCAGUCGGGAAGAAAAGGUUGUGACUAAUAAUUGCAAUUCAUGACGGUACCGACAGAAGAAGCACCGGCUAACUACGUGCCAGCAGCCGCGGUAAUACGUAGGGUGCGAGCGUUAAUCGGAAUUACUGGGCGUAAAGGGUGCGCAGGCGGUCUUGUAAGUCAGAUGUGAAAUCCCCGGGCUUAACCUGGGAACUGCGUUGAAACUACAAAGCUAG
rnacentral:rRNA from 1 species